UACAGCAGCUGUAAAGAUGGCACAGAAGAUGUGUGGCAAUCAAUGGCAGACUGUGAAAGUGUUUGAAAACGGUAAAGCCAGCACAGGUGCGUCCGUAUCAAACACUGGUGGAUAUGCAGGACUUCUACAUGCAGACAUAAUGCCCUUCGUAACACAACACUCUAUUGACGAAGACCGAACAGGUGCUUUAACUCUGAUUAAUUCAUCUGAACCAGACGGAGGAUUAACGCAGUCAUUGCGCUCUUAUCUGCAGGGCUGCCUGGACACCGGCGUUGCUGCGCUACCAAAUGGAGCUUUCUAAAGUGGACUGAAGGGAGAGAAAUCUUUUGCCCACCUUAUAGCUGUAAUGGGGUGGAUGGAGGAGGUAAUAGAGGCAGGACUUGUGUGCCAAGCGCAGCACCUCCUUUAAGAUAUAUUUAGUGUGUUGCUGGAAAACAAGGUUGAGGAGAAAGUG